GGAAAUUGAGCCAAAAACAUUGUCAGCUUUGAAGGAUCUUUGGAAUAAUAAUGUUCCGACGAAAGUAAGCAUUUUUGGUUGGAGGUUGUUAUUAGAUAAAUUACCAACAAAGGGAGACUCUUUUCAAUAGAGGUAUUAUCACCAAUAAUUAUGAGAGGUGCUGUAUUUUCUGCUUUAGGGAGGUGGAGGACUCUCAACAUAUUUUUUUCAAUUGUCAAGUGACUCAACAAGUGUGGCAUAACAUAU
rnacentral:lncRNA from 1 species